UGCCCUGCAGUGAGGGACUGCAACAGCGAGGUGCUGUCCGGGUUUCUGCAGUCUUCUGUGUGAACACUUGCAGCGUUUCUAUCUUGAAUGUGGAGUGGAACAGAAACACGGUCUGCACCAUUGCCGAAGUAUACCAAGCCCACCGUGCGUGUUCCCCUGACUGCUCCAUAAGGAAGACCGGACUGGCAUUAGAGGUUAGCUCCUGUAGGAUAACCAAAGAGACUGUGUCUUCGCUAAGAAGGACUUUGAGGCAUCUUAAAAGAAAGCAAAAAGGAAACAAACACUAUGAGUCUCCAGGUCCGUUGUGGCUGUGUGAUCCAAGCCCUUCACCAAGUUGGUGUUUACAGAUUUCUCAGCCCCCGCCUAGAGCAAGGCAAAGCAUUCUUAUCAG